CCCACCUCGUCGGCCGGCGCGCGCACUGCGAGGCUCCCCACCACUCGGCCGGGCAGCCGACCUUCUCCUACCACAGUGAAACGACAGGUGCGGCGAGAGUCUCGGUGAGCCGAGCGAGUUCUGAAAAUGCUACGAGAUUCUACGGCGCCGGCGGAUUUCGGGCGAGCGAUGCGCGUGGAUUAUGAGAGCGGCGUUAGAGAUCGACGAAUGAAUCGUUCACGCCGAAUAGGAAAUAGAUAUAUAAAGUGUAGAUCUUGAACGAGUCGUCAGCGAUGCUCGAGCGUUGAUCAGCUUCCGUGUAAAAUCAGCCGAUAGUCGCGCGCAGCAUCGGCGUCAUGGAAAUUUUGAAAUAUCUCAAGCGACCAAUCAUGACGCCCCGUGACGAAGGGAACGACUGGAAAGGACACACGGUGCUUCUCCGCGUAAUUGCAAACGGCAUUAUCGAGAAAUUGGAUCGUGUGUGGUGUUUGUCGAGCUACAAGAGCAUCCUGAUGCGCCCGAUGUACGUGAAUGCAACGCACGGCACUGACGCGAGCCCUGCUUAAGGCACUGACACCGCACACUUCCGCGAUGCAACGGCACAUUUUUCUCGGCCGCCGAGAUGUAAGUCCUAGAGCUGAGUUGGCGAAAGGAAGGCGACGAAUGUCGAUCCUGUCCAAACAUCCCCGUUGACUUCCGCCCAUAACGAACAUGACUCGAGCGACCUCGUACGUGGUGCAAAACAAGUCAACUUAGUGGAAAGAGAAAAAAUUCUGCGGGACACUCACGUUCUCAGGGUUGAAGUGCGCCCCGGCGGAUGUGCAGCCGUUGAUCAGAUCUCCCUUCUCGUGCACGUGGAAGCCGUGAAGUCCCUCUGCGAG